AGUGAACGCUGGCGGUAGGCCUAACACAUGCAAGUCGAACGGCAGCACAGUAAGAGCUUGCUCUUACGGGUGGCGAGUGGCGGACGGGUGAGGAAUACAUCGGAAUCUACUUUUUCGUGGGGGAUAACGUAGGGAAACUUACGCUAAUACCGCAUACGACCUACGGGUGAAAGCAGGGGAUCUUCGGACCUUGCGCGAUUGAAUGAGCCGAUGUCGGAUUAGCUAGUUGGCGGGGUAAAGGCCCACCAAGGCGACGAUCCGUAGCUGGUCUGAGAGGAUGAUCAGCCACACUGGAACUGAGACACGGUCCAGAGUCCUACGGGAGGCAGCAGUGGGGAAUAUUGGACAAUGGGCGCAAGCCUGAUCCAGCCAUACCGCGUGGGUGACGAAGGCCUUCGGGUUGUAAAGCCCUUUUGUUGGGAAAGAAAAGCAGCAGGUUAAUACCCCGCUGUUCUGACGGUACCCAAAGAAUAAGCACCGGCUAACUUCGUG
rnacentral:rRNA from 1 species